GACGAACGCUGGCGGCGUGCUUAACACAUGCAAGUCGAACGGAAAGGCCCUGCUUUUGUGGGGUGCUCGAGUGGCGAACGGGUGAGUAACACGUGAGUAACCUGCCCUUGACUUUGGGAUAACUUCAGGAAACUGGGGCUAAUACCGGAUAGGAGCUCCUGCUGCAUGGUGGGGGUUGGAAAGUUUCGGCGGUUGGGGAUGGACUCGCGGCUUAUCAGCUUGUUGGUGGGGUAGUGGCUUACCAAGGCUUUGACGGGUAGCCGGCCUGAGAGGGUGACCGGCCACAUUGGUCCUGCGAUACGGCCCAGACUCCUACGGUAGGCAGCAGUGGGGAAUAUUGCACAAUGGGCGGAAGCCUGAUGCAGCAACGCCGCGUUCGGGAUGACGGCCUUCUGGUUGUAAACCGCUUUCGCCUGUGACGAAGCGUGAGUGACGGUAAUGGGUAAAGAAGCACCGGCUAACUACGUG
rnacentral:rRNA from 1 species